CCACUGAGCAAAGAGCUGCUUUUGAGAAGUAGACGGAUGAAGAUAGUCAGAUUAAGUGCUAUAUAUUGGUUUCAAUAUCAAAUGAGUUGCAAAGCCAACAUGAGUAUAUGCCCACUAUCAGGGCUAUGAUCACUCACCUACAAGAGUUGUAUGGUGAGCAGAGCCGUAUAGCACACUUCAAGAUAUCCAAAAGACUCUUCAGUGAAGGGCAGUC
rnacentral:lncRNA from 1 species